rnacentral:rRNA from 1 species
UGGGGAAUAUUGCACAAUGGGCGCAAGCCUGAUGCAGCCAUGCCGCGUGUAUGAAGAAGCCCUUCGGGUUGUAAAGUACUUUCAGCGAGGAGGAAGGCGUUGUGGUUAAUAACCGCAACGAUUGACGAUACUCGCAGAAGAAGCACCGGCUAACUCCGUGCCAGCAGCCGCGGUAAUACGGAGGGAGCCAGCGUUAAUCGGAAUUACUGGGCGUAAAGCGCACGCAGGCGGUCUGUCAAGUCGGAUGUGAAAUCCCCGGGCUCAACCUGGGAACUGCAUCCGAAACUGGCAGGCUAGAGUCUUGUAGAGGGGGGUAGAAUUCCAGGUGUAGCGGUGAAAUGCGUAGAGAUCUGGAGGAAUUCCGGUGGCGAAGGCGGCCCCCUGGACAAAGACUGACGCUCAGGUGCGAAAGCGUGGGGAGCAAACA